AAGCCAUGAAGAGCCAUUUCUCUCGGGUGUAAAUCCGAAAUGAGAAAUACCAGGCUCUGAUACCAAUUGUUAGGAUCGGAGCGGCACUAAGAGGGGGGGGGGUGAAUUAGUGCAGCGGUAAAGUUUGAUAAACUUUUGACGAUUUAAACACUUUCGAAAACUUCGUACGAUAAAAGUAACGUUUUCGUUUGAAACCAUUUCG
rnacentral:lncRNA from 1 species